ACUUAAAUAGCUCAAUAGAAGAGUAUAAUAUUGAAGAUAUUAAGAUGAUUAAAAUGAAUCUUUAAGUA
rnacentral:tRNA from 1 species